UCAAUUGCUUUUGUAAUAUUCGAGAUUUGAUAAUAAAGGAAAUUCGGAUUAUGAAUUUUGAAAUUCAAAUAUAUAUAUAUAUAGAUGUGUCUGUGUCUGUGUGUGUGUGUGUGGGUGUGUGGUGUGUGUAUGGUUAUAGUGUGGAUCACGGAGAGGGUUAGUUUCGUCGCAAAUCGGCGACCAAAUCGGACGAAACAGAAUUGUAGAUUCGAUGCCCCAAUCAUGCUGAACGCGCUGGCGCGAUCCGAUCGAAAAUAUGACGGACAGAUCUUCGAGAAUCGCAAAAAGUUCGUUGAGGGGUCGAAAUAGGCAAGACAAAAAAUCUGCGAAAGG
rnacentral:lncRNA from 1 species